rnacentral:rRNA from 1 species
GACGAACGCUGGCGGCGUGCUUAACACAUGCAAGUCGAACGGAAAGGCCCUGCUUUUGUGGGGUGCUCGAGUGGCGAACGGGUGAGUAACACGUGAGUAACCUGCCCUUGACUUUGGGAUAACUUCAGGAAACUGGGGCUAAUACCGGAUAGGAGCUCCUGCUGCCUGGUGGGGGUUGGAAAGUUUCGGCGGUUGGGGAUGGACUCGCGGCUUAUCAGCUUGUUGGUGGGGUAGUGGCUUACCAAGGCUUUGACGGGUAGCCGGCCUGAGAGGGUGACCGGCCACAUUGGGACUGAGAUACGGCCCAGACUCCUACGGGAGGCAGCAGUGGGGAAUAUGGCACAAUGGGCGGAAGCCUGAUGCAGCAACGCCGCGUGCGUGAUGACGGCCUUCGGGUUGUAAACCGCUUUCGCCGGUGACGAAGCGUGAGUGACGGUAAUGGGUAAAGAAGCACCGGCUAACUACGUG